AUUGAACGCUGGCGGCAUGCCUUACACAUGCAAGUCGAACGGCAGCACGGGAGCAAUCCUGGUGGCGAGUGGCGAACGGGUGAGUAAUAUAUCGGAACGUGCCCGGUCGUGGGGAUAACGUAGCGAAAGCUACGCUAAUACCGCAUACGAUCUACGGAUGAAAGCGGGGGAUCGCAAGACCUCGCGCGAUUGGAGCGGCCGAUAUCAGAUUAGGGUAGUUGGUGAGGUAAAGGCUCACCAAGCCGACGAUCUGUAGCUGGUCUGGAGAGGACGACCAGCCCACACUGGGACUGAGACACGGACCAGACUCCUACGGGAGGCAGCAGU
rnacentral:rRNA from 1 species